GAUGAACGCUGGCGGCGUGCCUAAUACAUGCAAGUCGAGCGAACAGACGAGGAGCUUGCUCCUCUGACGUUAGCGGCGGACGGGUGAGUAACACGUGGAUAACCUACCUAUAAGACUGGGAUAACUUCGGGAAACCGGAGCUAAUACCGGAUAAUAUAUCGAACCGCAUGGUUCAAUAGUGAAAAACGGUUUUGCUGUCACUUAUAGAUGGAUCCGCGCCGCAUUAGCUAGUUGGUAAGGUAACUGCUUACCAAGGCAACGAUGCGUAGCCGACCUGAGAGGGUGAUCGGCCACACUGGAACUGAGACACGGUCCAACCUCCGACGGGAGGCAGCAGUAGGGAAUCUUCCGCAAUGGGCGAAAGCCUGACGGAGCAACGCCGCAUGAGUGAUGAAGGUCUUCGGAUCGUAAAACUCUGUUAUUAGGGAAGAACAAAUGUGUAAGUAACUAUGCACGUCUUGACGGUACCUAAUCAGAAAGCCACGGCUAACUACGUG
rnacentral:rRNA from 1 species